GUUCUGAAAAUCACUCCUGACAACAGAUACUGAAGUUUGUCUUUUUUAUUUUGAUUGUGUGUUUAAGAUAGUAAAUGUCUAGGUUCCAUGGGUUAGAUUUGAUUGCUGACUUGUUUGCAUUGCUACCUCUAAUCCAAAUGAACUAAGUGGAAGACCCAGUAUAAAAGAAAAAUGACAAAAGAUGAGUGGAAAUGAGUAGCAGCAACUGAAUCACUAGUGUUUUGUGAUUUCUGUAUAAACAUUUUGAAUUUGAAUUUCAAUGUGAAUUCACACAGUCUCUUCAUGGAACCAGACUACCAUAAGCUGUUAUUUUCUAUGACAACAGUCACUGUUGGAAAGGACAUAGGAAGAUAAAAUUCCAUCACACAAUACAAAAGGUAAAUAUCCAGAAGUGGGAUAACUGGACUAUACGGAAUUUCUGUUUUUAAUGGAAUAUCCAUACUAUUUUCUGUAACAGCUGUACAAAUUUACAGUCCUACCAACACUAUAUGUCAAGAGCUUUUAUGAAAAAAUUCCUGUAAUAUACUGUUAAGAGGAAAAAACAAAGAAACAAAAUAAUCAAUAUAAUCUCCUAGAAAACAUGCUAGAUGAUAAUAUACAACUAAGGGUUAUUUUUACUUCCCUUCUUUACUUACUCUAUGCCUUCCUAGUUUUUUUUUAUAUGAACUAUUACAUAUUUCAUAAUCAGAAAUAUAUCCAAAUAAA